rnacentral:piRNA from 1 species
CCACAGGGAAGGCCCUACAUCAUCUGC